UCCAACUGGAGUUGCCAUGGCGAGUGGGAUUGUUUACGUUCCUUUCCCAAAGGACCUGGAAGAAGGGCAGCGUAGCAGUAGCAAGACAAAGUGAAAAGACUGAAAUCCUUGUGAACGAUGUGGGCUAAAAAUGCCAGGGAGCCUGUGAGGCUGCAAGAGGUGGCAGUUGUGGGGCUUCUCACCGAACCCUCCUUUCACAUGGCAGCACAUGCUGCAGAGGCUCUAAGGAGAAAUUUUCCAGCCAAGAUAGCAGAACCAAAAAUACUUCCUCUACUGCAAUUUGCAUGGGAUGAAUAUCUACAGGAGAAAAAGAAGGAGCUGAGAGGAGAAACAUGGGAGUAUGCAUCCAAUGUGAUGUGUUUCAUUGAUGGUCAGCUCCUUGGAGAUGAGAAAAUGUUACUCAAAUGGGCUUAUGAUGUUUGGGAUUAUAAAGACUUUAAACCAACAGCACUUUAUGAAGCAAUUACACAGGAUUUCCUCACUAAAUACAUGAGAAACAAGAAACACAUAUUUGUGUAUCUGGAGAUAGCUAUUCAGGAGGUGAUUGUUGGAAAACUACUGUUUGAGCUGUAUUCUGAUAUCUGUCCCAAGACAUGUAGGAAUUUCAAGUACUUGUGUACAGGAGAGAAAACAAACACUGAAUCUGGAAAAAUUCUCACUUACCAGGAGUCUAUCUUUCACCGUAUUGUCAAAAAUGGCUGGAUACAAGGAGGAGACAUUCAUGGAGGAAGAGGAAAUGGAGGCGAGUCGAUAUAUGGACCUAUCUUUGAAGGUAGUUGUAUCCUCUUGAAAUGUGCUAGUAGAACCAAACUAGGAAGCAAAAAUCCAUCGGUGAUGCCUUUAUUGGCCAACUGAAUUGCACAAUAUACUUGUUGCAAGCUUUCGGAGCUUCAUGGCUUCUUCAUCAGGCAAGUUGUUACAAACCAAAUGGGAGGGGAAAAAAUGGAGAUGUUAGAUGCCCGCAUGUUGUUUUAGUCCUUAGUGAAGAUGUUAUGUUGGAGAGGACAACUUUUACAGGCAGGCUCCUCCUCCUCUUGGCUAUGCGCAAUAGGGACAUUUUCAAAGUCCAGGAUAUAUAAAGUUUUGGCUUCAUGGAUGUAACCAAAAGAUACUUCCUUAACAUAAAGUGUAUCCUAGUGAAAGAAAUGAGAUUAAAUGAAACAGUACAAAUUCAUCUGUAUUGUAGUUACUUGCUGGAAGCUCAGAAGUCAGAAUUGUAGUGCACACAUGAAACCUACACAUCAGCUCAAAUACUCAUUUGUGCAUUACAUUUCCCUUAUAGCACUUUCACUUCCUCCACAAAAGGGGAACAGAUUUUGUUUGUGAAGAGACACAAAGGGAACUUAAAGCCUCACGUAGAGAAAGUGCAAUUUUGUGCUUCUUCACAAGGUGCAUCUAGUUUUGCUCAGCUUACAGCAGGAAAUUUUGAACUAGAACAAGGGUAAGGAAAUGAGAAAUGGAAAAUAGUUAGAUUGCAGUUCUAAGUAAACCUGUCAGUGAGUAUCCUGUUGGAAUUAAAUAUAUGACAGAGCUCCUUUCCAGACUGGUAGUUCCAAUCCCUUUGGUUCCUGUCACUCACCUUGCCCCCUUGCCCCUUAAUAUUCCUCCCUGGAUCUGAUACUUGGCCUCAAUGUGAUCCCUGUAUGGACAAGUGGAUUCAAUGUUCAGUGGGUCAAUGUGGUAAGCAUGGCCAGACUCUCAAACCUAACAGGAACAGCCAGACACAGUUGUAAAAAAGAACACAAAAAUAGUAUAAGUGUAUUAAUGCACAAUCAGAUCAAGCCUUAACCCCUGAUCUACAUAAUGAUUCACAGCUUCCAACCCCCCCCCCCCCAUUCAGUUCUUUCUCCCUGGCAGACUGUCCUGUCUUUGGGACAGUACACACGGGCAUUUUGUGACGUCCUGACGCCAAAAUUUGGGCUUGCUGUGGCACAACAUCUACAUGCGCCAAGCCCUAAUAUCAGCACCAUUACAUCACAAGGCUGCAGCCAUGUCCACAUGGAGCAGCCUUGUAACGUAAGGGUGCCAGAGCACCCACACACCUCUGGCGGAAGCGAUGUCAUAAGGGCUGCAAUACAGCCCUUAGCGCACCACAAAAAGGAGCCACUCUAGGCAGCUCCUUUUUGCUGCGCAGCAUCGCCGCCCUGUUUGGUUGGUCCAGCAACCAAAAGUCCAGCAGCCAAAAGUCAAGCUAGAGAUCAAAUCUGAACUGUAGAAUAGUAUACCAAAUUAUGCAAGAAACAUGUUUAGUUUCACGGCGCAGCAAAGAGGGGUGGUGUUUCCGUGCUGGUAUGUACAGCCCCUACAUUACAGCUUUUCCCUAUCUCUGCGUCAACCUUCCCCUCUCUGCCUUCUGUUAGAGACAAGCCUCGGUUUUUGUAUCCUUUCUCCCCUACACGCCCCCCCCACACACAAUCUAUAUGACCGGCUGGCUCCAACCAGGCUUGUCCAGCUUCUCCCUUUACAAAAUCAUAGACAAAUAUGUUCAGAAUAAAAACUCCAGCAAGGUUUGCCAUAUAGGUUAUUGCAUGUUUGUGUGUAUAUACCUUCAAGUCACUUGUCAUCAUAUGGGGACCCCAUGAAAUUCAUGGGGUCCCCAUAGGCACUGGAUACUCAGAGGUGGUUUUGCCAGUUUCUUCUUCUGAAACAUAGCCUACAGCAGUUGAUAUUCCAAGCAUGGAGUGUCCAAGAUCAGAUGGGAUCAGCAUACCUUUAUUUUCUCCCUUUUUUGUAGCCCUUCCAGGAAUGUAUGUCACUGACUUUGGAGAGACGGUUGACAUCAUAGAUUCACAGACUUACACACCAACAUGCACUGCCCAAGUUUGACCUGGGAGGUCAAUGCAGCUCUAAAGAUGAAAAUUUUGCAGUUCCGCAUGACAGGAGAGGUGUUCUGGGAAUGGUCAACAAAGGACGUCACAGCAAUGGGUCCCAGUUCUACAUUACACUUCAGGCAGCACCUUAC